rnacentral:rRNA from 1 species
CCUACGGGUGGCAGCAGUGGGGAAUAUUGCUCAAUGGGGGAAACCCUGAAGCAGCAACGCCGCGUGGAGGAUGAAGGUCCUCGGCGUGUAAAGCCCUUUUGGUAGGGAAGAAAAUGACGGUAUCUAACGAAUAAGCACCGGCUAACUCCGUGCCAGCAGCCGCGGUAAUACGGAGGGUGCAAGCGUUACUCGGAAUCACUGGGCGUAAAGAGGGCGUAGGCGGGAUAGCAAGUCAGAUGUGAAAUCCUAUGGCUUAACCAUCGAACUGCAUUUGAAACUGUUAUUCUGGAGUAUGGGAGAGGUAGGUGGAAUUCUUGGUGUAGGGGUAAAAUGCGUAGAGAUCAAGAGGAAUACUCAUUGCGAAGGCGACCUGCUAGACCAUAACUGACGCUGAGGCGCGAAAGCGUGGGGAGCAAACAGGAUUAGAUACCCGUGUAGUC